AUUGAACGCUGGCGGAAUGCUUUACACAUGCAAGUCGAACGGCAGCACGGACUUCGGUCUGGUGGCGAGUGGCGAACGGGUGAGUAAUGUAUCGGAACGUGCCCAGUCGUGGGGGAUAACGUAGUGAAAAUUACGCUAAUACCGCAUACGAUCUAUGGAUGAAAGCGGGGGAUCGCAAGACCUCGCGCGAUUGGAGCGGCCGAUAUCAGAUUAGGUAGUUGGUGGGGUGAAGGCCCACCAAGCCAACGAUCUGUAGCUGGUCUGAGAGGACGACCAGCCACACUGGAACUGAGACACGGUCCAGACUCCUACGGGAGGCAGCAGUGGGGAAUUUUGGACAAUGGGCGAAAGCCUGAUCCAGCCGUUCCGCGCGCAGGAUGAAGGCCCUCGGGUUGUAAACUGCUUUUGUACAGAACGAAAAGGUUUCUACUAAUACUAGGAGCUCAUGACGGUACUGUAAGAAUAAGCACCGGCUAACUACGUGCCAGCCGCCGCCGUAA
rnacentral:rRNA from 1 species